rfam:Picea glauca, whole genome shotgun sequence.
ACAUGCCUACAAUAUAACGUUAAUAUUGCACUAGAUCCCAUUAGAACUUCGUAGUUGAGCACGCUCGGGCUAGAGUAGUACUGGGAUGGGUGACCGCCCGGGAAGUCCUAGUAUUCUACAUGCC